GAAGUAUUAGUAAAACAAUUACAUAACUUUGUCAAGGUUAAAUUAUAGGCUUAAGCCCUAUGUACUUCC
rnacentral:tRNA from 1 species